rnacentral:rRNA from 1 species
UACGGAGGGUGCAAGCGUUAUCCGGAUUCACUGGGUUUAAAGGGUGCGUAGGAGGGCAGGUAAGUCAGUGGUGAAAUCUCCAAGCUUAACUUGGAACUGCCGUUGAUACUAUCUGUCUUGAAUAUUGUGGAGGUGAGCGGAAUAUGUCAUGUAGCGGUGAAAUGCUUAGAUAUACAUAGAACACCAAUUGCGAAGGCAGCUCACUACACAAACUUCAU